GCCAAUGCCCUCUGGGCUCUCUGGUGAAUCAUGAUAACUGCUCGAAUCGCAGGGCCUCGUGCCGGCGAUGGUUCAUUCAAAUUUCUUCCCUAUCAACUUUCGAUGUUUGGGUAUUGGCCAAACAUGGUUACAACGGGUAACGGAGGGUUAGGGCUCGACCCCGGAGAAGGAGCCUGAGAAACGGCUACUACAUCCAAGGAAGGCAGCAGGCGCGCAAAUUACCCAAUCCCGACACGGGGAGGUAGUGACAAUAAAUACUGAUACAGGGCUCUUUCGGGUCUUGUAAUUGGAAUGAGUACAAUUUAAAUCCCUUAACAAGGAACAAUUGGAGGGCAAGUCUGGUGCCAGCAGCCGCGGUAAUUCCAGCUCCAAUAGCGUAUAUUAAAGUUGUUGUGGUUAAAAAGCUCGUAGUUGACCCUUGGGCCUGGCUGGCCGGUCCGCCUCACCGCGUGUACUGGUCCGGCCGGGCCUUUCCCUCUGUGGAACCCCAUGCCCUUCACUGGUCGUGGCGGGGAAACAGGACUUUUACUUUGAAAAAAUUAGAGUGCUCCAGGCAGGCCUAUGCUCGAAUACAUUAGCAUGGAAUAAUAGAAUAGGACGUGCGGUUCUAUUUUGUUGGUUUCUAGGACCGCCGUAAUGAUUAAUAGGGACAGUCGGGGGCAUCAGUAUUCAAUUGUCAGAGGUGAAAUUCUUGGAUCUAUUGAAGACUAACUACUGCGAAAGCAUUUGCCAAGGAUGUUUUCAUUAAUCAAGAACGAAAGUUAGGGGAUCGAAGACGAUCAGAUACCGUCGUAGUCCUGACCGUAAACUAUGCCGACUAGGGAUCGGACGAUGUUAUUUUUUGACUCGUUCGGCACCUUACGAGAAAUCAAAGUGCUUGGGCUC
rnacentral:rRNA from 1 species